rnacentral:misc_RNA from 1 species
AACGCACAUUGCGCCCUCUGGUAUUCCGGGGGGCAUGCCUGUUCGAGCGUCAUUACAACCCUCAAGCUCUGCUUGGUAUUAGGCUUCACCCUCGGGUGGGCUUUAAAAUCAGUGGCGGUGCCAUCUGGCUUCAAGCGUAGUAAUUUUCUCGCUUUGGAGGACCUGGUGUGCUCUUGCCAACAACCCCAAUUCUUAUAAAGGUUGACCUCGGAUCAGGUAGGGAUACCCGCUGAACUUAA